AGUAAANNUCNUAACAAGGUUUCCGUAGGUGAACCUGCGGAAGGAUCAUUAACCGUUACAAACAGUGUGUGAUGCGGCCGCCGAGGUGAAUAGCCUCUGGUUGGUAUGGGGUUCGCCCCUUCACGCUCACGCGUCUGCCAUCCUUACUUUACGAGCACCUUCUGUUCUCCCUSGGCACGGGCCUCGCCCUGCCGUUGGAACUACAAAACUCUUUUUUGCAUCUAGCAUUACCUGUUCCGACAAAAACAAUCGUUUACAACUUUCAACAAUGGAUCUCUUGGCUCUGGCAUCGAUGAAGAACGCAGCGAAAUGCGAUAAGUAGUGUGAAUUGCAGAAUUCAGUGAAUCAUCGAAUCUUUGAACGCACAUUGCGCCCCUCGGUAUUCCGUGGGGCAUGCCUGUUCGAGCGUCAUCUACACCCUCAAGCUCUGCUUGGUGUUGGGCGUCUGUCCCGCCUCCGCGCGUGGACUCGCCCCAAAUACAUUGGCAGCGGUCUUUGCCUCCUCUCGCGCAGCACAUUGCGCUUCUCGGGGAGUCGCGGACACGCAUCCAGUAAGCAACAUUUACCGUCUUUGACCUCGGAUCAGGUAGGGAUACCCGCUGAACUUAAGCAUAUCAAUAAGCCGGA
rnacentral:rRNA from 1 species